AUGUUGGCCAGGCUGGUCUCGAAUUCCCGACCUCAAGUGAUCUGCCCGCCUCGGCCUCCCGAAGUGCUGCAAUUACAGGCGUGAGCCACCGCGCCCGGCCCAGAAACAUGUUUUGAAGGGCAGGCACCGCACAGGGUGCUGGAGACAGACUGAAGGAAACUGCACCUCUCAGUGACUCAAGAGAGAUUUGUUGAGUAUCUACCAAGUGCCUAGCGCUGUUCUUGUCCCUGGGGAUUCAGCCUCUGGAUUGGGACCUGCAGCCCAGAGAAGGGAAAUGGGGGAAAUCCAAGUUCCCAGGUACAUCAUGAUACCCUUCCAGCCUCUCCUUCCUGGAAAUUGCCAUCACCAGCGGCCAUAGCACCCCCAUGGGACCUGGGGGAUGGAGUUGGAAGCCCCCUCCGGCAACACUGGCCAGAUUGGAGAGACCAGCAGGGAAGCUCCCUCCUACCCCCAGGGAGGCUGAAGCCAGCUCUCCAUGGGCACGAAACCUGGAACCCAGGACCCUGGGGGGCAGGGCUAUGCUGGACUAGAGAAGACACAGGUGGCCAAAGCUGGACCCAGCCCUCAGGGAACAGAUAACCUGCGUGAGAAACAAAUAAUUGAUUCUGCCCUUUAUCCCUCCCGGGCCAGCACGGAGGGGUUCAGCCAAUGACUGGGAAUUGAAUGAAAAACCAAAGAGAACAGCCAUGAGAUCUGUCUGCUAUGGGUGGGAAAGCAGAUGGGAGAGUGAGAAGGGCUUCAAGGAGAAGGUGAUAUGUGAACAGGGCAUAAAUGGAUGAAUAGGAGUUUGCCAGGCACAGAAAGGGAAGGACAUUCCAGGGGAAGCAGGCAGAGGCCUGGCAAGGCAAAGGCCAGGAGGAUUGCAAGUAAAGUCAUGGUAUGAGCAGAAAACAAGAGAGGUCCAGUUGCCCAUGGCAUAGGAGAGGGGACAGGCCAAGAGGGUAGUGGGUAAGCACUGUUUUCCCUGCCCAGCAUCCAUCUCUCACUCUGGUGACUGUCCCUCAGUUUUCUAGUCUCCAGUGUGACUGGCCCCCAACCCUCAAGCUCUAAAAGUGGGUUUGAGUCCUGUGCCUAGCCAGUCUGAGUCAUGGGAAUGGCUCCAGCAUAUGACAUCAGAGAGCAUCAGCCCAGGAACUUGAUGGGACUGUUAGGGUCACAAAUGUCAAGAUGCCAGCCCAGAGCUGCUGGUGGCCAGCUCUGCCACCCUAAGGGGGGAGCCUGCCUAAGAAUAAGGCCAACAUAGAAGAAAACAGCACCAAGAGAAUGAAUCUCAAUGACAUUGCCUGUGCUCCUGGAUCCAGUCAUGCCUGAAGCAGUUUCUAUUCUACGAGCCAACAAAUUCCAGUUUUGGCUUAAUACAGUUAGGGUUGGGUCUGUCACUUGCCACUGAGAAUGAAGGGCCCAUUGCAGAAUAGCUAAAGGCAGGUGAUCACUCAUGAGAGUUGCCGAGUGCUGUGGGAAAGGCAACGAUGAUCUGUGUGUAGAGGUACAACACCAUCAGAACUGCAUUUUCUUUCAUUUAAAUUACUUUUUGAGGCCGGGUGCGGUGGCUCACGCCUGUAAUCCCAGCACUUUGGGA
rnacentral:lncRNA from 1 species